GACGAACGCUGGCGGCGUGCUUAACACAUGCAAGUCACGGGGGCCCAGCAAUGGGUAACCGGCGAACGGGUGCGUAACACGUGAGCAACCUGCCGAUCUGAGGGGGAUAGCCGGCCCAACGGCCGGGUAAUACCGCAUACGGUUCUUGAGGGACAUCCCUUGGGAACGAAACCUCCGGGGCAGAUCGAGGGGCUCGCGGCCUAUCAGCUAGUUGGCGGGGUAACGGCCCACCAAGGCGACGACGGGUAGCUGGUCNGAGAGGAUGGCCAGCCACAUUGGGACUGAGACACGGCCCAAACUCCUACGGGAGGCAGCAGUGGGGAAUAUUGGACAAUGGGCGCAAGCCUGAUCCAGCCAUGCCGCGUGAGUGAUGAAGGCCCUAGGGUUGUAAAGCUCUUUUGUGCGGGAAGAUAAUGACGGUACCGCAAGAAUAAGCCCCGGCUAACUUCGUGCCAGCCGCCGCCGU
rnacentral:rRNA from 1 species